CCACCUGACCAUCACCCCUCGUUCUGGAUCGUUCGGCCACUCCCGAGCGACACUUCGCUCAUUUCUCUCUGCCACGUAUGUCUCGAGAACCCUGCUUCUUCCGGUCACUCCACGUCUCGAGGCCCCAGUGAACACCUAACCGAGUCUACCUCGAGCCUCGCCAACACCCAGACGGCAGAGAACUCCCUGGACUCUCCAAGGACUGGCCUCUCAGCUGCUGCCGUGGAUUCAUCCUCUACCUGGUUUCCGGCGCUGUCAACGAGUCUGCAUCUGGUGUUGGUGAGAUUAGUGUUCCUCUGGCCGUCACUCGCUCUGGAGGGAGACUCGUGGUGAGAGCCGGGUGGUCGUGAUGGUUCCUAAGCCAGACUAACACUUAUCGGAUGGCCAUUGACUACCGUCAACUCAACAGCUAGUCUUCCAGGCUGAGCUCAGCUGUAGCAUUGAGGAAGAUAUGUACAAGUUUUCCGGUUCAAGAUUCUUCAGAGUUGGAUCUCUGCAAGGCUUAUUACAAAGUCCCUUUGACAGAGAGCCAUGCUUGACAGCCAUCCCAACCCACUUGGGCCUAAUGGAGUUAACCAGACUACCUUUUGGCCUGGUCACUGCUUGUGCCACCUCAAGCUCUUCCGCAUUGUGCUCUCAGGACUCGCAAACGUGACCUUUUAUUUUGAUAAUGAUUUUAUACUCUUCAGACUGGGCCCUGCAUUUAAGGACCCUUCAUGCCGUGCUGGACAGGAUCAGGACCCAUGGACUUACCCUAAAGAUCUCCAAGUGCUAUUUUGGAUUCCCUUCCAUUCUAUACAUUGGAUUCAUUUUGGGAGCUGACUGUCUUCAACCCCAGCGUGACAAAGUUGAAGCGCUCUGCAAGAUACCACCACCGUCCACUAAGAAACUUCUACGAGGAUUUAUUGUAAUAGUGAGUUUCUACAAGUCUUUUAUCCCUCGGGCAUCCCUCCUCACUGGCCCUCUGACUGAUCUGCUAAAAACUGUUCGUGAGCCCCUUCCCUGGACGGACGAGUUGCAGGCUUGUUUUGACCAGCUCAAAUUAAUCCUCUCUUCUAACCCCAUACUUCGUCUCCCCGAUCCUAUAGGGCGGACGCUUUCACCCGAGGGAUUGGAGCGGUUUUCCUUCAAUGUCAUCUUGGCAUUCCUCAUCCGGUUGCGUAUGCUAGCAGAAAACUGCUCCCCAGGGAAACCCGGUAUUCUACCAUUGAGAGGGAAUGCCUAGGUAUAGUGUUCUCCAUUCUCAAGGUUUGAUUUUUACUUCAGAGGGUAAGAAUUUAUUUUGGAAACGGAUCACAAUCCCCUCACCUAUAAGCACACCUUCAAAGGCAUGAAUGAUCGCCUUCUCGGAUGGAGUCUAGCACUUCAACAACACAAAUUCAGGGUCGUUCAUGUUGCUGGAGCUGACUAUGUGCUGGAGCUGACAAUCUAUGUGCCGACCUCCUCAGUCGAGUUUAGGUAUUUUCUUAUAUCCUCUCUUUUCUCCAGAAGGCAUUGCAUUCCCUAGAGUGGUGUUCUACAAGACUACCGUGGCUAGUCUCUUGGAGGGGGAGUUGUGUAACGGAACAGAACACCAUCUGACCAUCACCCCUCGUUCUGGAUCGUUCGGCCACUCCCGAGCGACACUUCGCUCAUUUCUCUGCCACGUAUGUCUCGAGAACCCUGCUUCUUCCGGUCACUCCACGUCUCUUGGUCACUCCACGUCUCCGGUAACUCCAAGUCUCGAGGCCCCAGUGAUCACCUGACCGAGUCUACCUCGAGCCUCGCCAACACCCAGACGGCAGAGAACUCCCUGGACUCCAAGGACUGGCCUUUCCUCUGCUGCCCUGGCUUCACCCUCUCCCUGCUUCCCGGCGCCGUCAACGAGUCUGCCUCCAGUGUUGGUGAGAUUAGUGUUCCUCGCUCUGGAGAUAAACUCUUGGUGAGAGCCGGGGUUUGCAAGGUGUCCCUGUUGUUGUUAUAUUGUGUAUACCUGUGUGUUUUUGCAAGUCUAGUAAACUUUGAACCAUUCAAA